UAGAGUUUUCUAAACUCCCAACCCAUGUGAACUUACAAUUGUUGCCUCGGCAGAAGCUGCUCGGUGCACCUUACCUUGGAACGGCCUACCCUGUAGCGCCUUACCCUGGAACGGCUUACCCUGUAGCGGCUGCCGGUGGACUACCAACUCUUGUUAUUUUAUUGUAAUCUGAGCGUCUUAUUUUAAUAAGUCA
rnacentral:misc_RNA from 1 species